rnacentral:rRNA from 1 species
UACGUAGGGUGCGAGCGUUGUCCGGAAUUAUUGGGCGUAAAGAGCUCGUAGGCGGUGUGUCACGUCGGCCGUGAAAACCUGCAGCUUAACUGUGGGCGUGCGGUCGAUACGGGCAUCACUGGAGUUCGGCAGGGGAGACUGGAAUUCCUGGUGUAGCGGUGAAAUGCGCAGAUAUCGGGAGGAACACCGAUGGCGAAGGCAGGUCUCUGGGCAUUAACUGACGCUGAGGAGCGAAAGCAUGGGGAGCGAACAGG